rnacentral:misc_RNA from 1 species
AGCAGCCGCGGUAAUUCCAGCUCCAAUAGCGUAUAUUAAAGUUGUUGCAGUUAAAAAGCUCGUAGUUGAAUUUCGGGAUCAAUACGUUGGUCGUACUUUCGGGUACGUACUGGCGUCAUUGGUUUCUCUCUUCUGACGAACCAUGAUGUCAUUAAUUUGGUGUUAUGGGGAGUUAGGACUGUUACUUUGAAAAAAUUAGAGUGUUUAAAGCAGGCAUUAGCUUGAAUACAUUAGCAUGGAAUAAUGAAAUAGGACGUUUGAUCCUAUUUUGUUGGUUUCUAGGAUCGACGUAAUGAUUAAUAGGGAUAGUUGGGGGCAUUAGUAUUCAAUUGUCAGAGGUGAAAUUCUUGGAUUUAUUGAAGACUAACUACUGCGAAAGCAUUUGCCAAGGAUGUUUUCAUUAAUCAAGAACGAAAGUUAGGGGAUCGAAGACGAUCAGAUACCAUCGUAGUCUUAACCAUAAACUAUGCCGACUAGGGAUCGGAUGAUGUUAAUUUUCUAAUGACUCAUUCGGCGCCUU